rnacentral:rRNA from 1 species
GAGUACCGUCAUCGGAUGGGCAUUUCCUCCCAACCUUAUUCUUCCCCCAGAAAAGGGGUUUACAACCCGAAAGCCUUCAUCCCCCACGCGGUGUCGCUGGAUCGGACUUUCGUCCAUUGUCCAAUAUUCCCCA